CGCCCCGCCGCCCUUCCCACCCCCGCCUCCCACCUCGCGUCUCCGCCAUCGCCCCCCUGAUAACCGUUCCCAUUUUUCCUCAUCGCGGCGUCGCGAACCUGCUGUCUCCACGCCGUCUGCAAUCUUUAGCCAUUUGGUGUUGAGGAAUAAUACCAUGGAGAUCAGGCCCAUGGUAGCUCUGCGUGCAGCCCUAGUUGGUGGUGUAGCAGCAUUUGCGAAGAUCGCGGGGGCGAUGAAAGCUGCAGGAAGCGUGAAGGUUGGUGCAGCCGCUGCAGCCAUGACAGCAGCUGCAACGGCUGCCGUAUCAGGAAAAGACACGGCUACAGAUAACCAAAAGCCAGGAGCAAAAUGAUAUAUUCCAUGAAUUUGGUGGAGAAGCAAUACAUGAAAAUGCUUCUCCAGAGUCUAGAUCAUCACUCAGCAGUUUAUCAGUGCUGAAGAGCUGUGGAAGCUAAUUGUGGUCUUCGACACAAUAAAAUAAGUUAUCAGAGCAAUUUUCAUGAUGCACAUGUUACUAACUCGCGUAUAAUAGUUGCAAUGUCCCGAGUUUUCCCCUUAUUUAUGAUCAAUUGGUGCAAUGGUCUCUGUUUAUGAUCCAGUGGUGUAACCAGCACCAUGAUUGUGCUGUGUUCACCUUCUAUGUGACCCUGAUUCCUGAUGUGUGAUGUCCAAAUGAUUUGGAUUACUUUCUAUUUAACUGAGACGAUCUGUAGCAGAACUGUC